rnacentral:rRNA from 1 species
CCUACGGGAGGCAGCAGUGAGGAAUAUUGGUCAAUGGGCGGGAGCCUGAACCAGCCAAGUAGCGUGAAGGAUGACGGCCCUACGGGUUGUAAACUUCUUUUAUAAAGGAAUAAAGUGAGGCACGUGUGCCUUUUUGCAUGUACAGUAUGAAUAAGGAUCGGCUAACUCCGUGCCAGCAGCCGCGGUAAUACGGAGGAUCCGAGCUUUAUCCGGAUUUAUUGGGUUUAAAGGGAGCGUAGGUGGGUUGUUAAGUGAGUUGUGAAAGUUUGCGGCUCAACCGUAAAAUUGCAGUUGAUACUGGCAGUCUUGAGUACAGUUGAGGUAGGCGGAAUUCGUGGUGUAGCGGUGAAAUGCUUAGAUAUCACGAAGAACUCCGAUUGCGAAGGCAGCUUACUAAACUGCCACUGACGUUGAUGCUCGAAAGUGUGGGUAUCAAACAGGAUUAGAUACCCUUGUAGUC